CCCCCUUUUUCACACGUUGAGUCAGUCUCCCCACAGCUGGCCGUGCCCAUGCUCCACCUCCUUGGCUGAGAGCAUCAGUAUCUCAGCCAAUCCAGGCAAUUGCACAUGCAGGGCAAGAUGAUGCUCUGCACCAAUCAGGGUUUCCUCAUAGAGAAGCAUUGAAUCAAUGCAUCUCUAUGAGGAACGUUCAAUGCCUCCAUGCAGGGAGGGGGAAACGCUGGGUUGUCCCCCACUCUGUUUCUUC